rnacentral:rRNA from 1 species
UGAGGAAUAUUGGUCAAUGGGCGGGAGCCUGAACCAGCCAAGUCGCGUGAGGGAAGACGGUUCUAUGGAUUGUAAACCUCUUUAGGCGGGGAGCAAUGCCGGGCACGCGUGUCCGGAGGGAGAGUACCCGCAGAAUAAGCAUCGGCUAACUCCGUGCC